rnacentral:misc_RNA from 1 species
UUUCCGUAGGUGAACCUGCGGAAGGAUCAUUACAGUGCCGUCGGGGAUGCCGCGCUUCCCGCGUGGGCGUUCCCGCACCCGGCCACCCGUGUCUACCUGACCUCUUGUUGCCUCGGCGGGCCCGCUGGGCGCCCGGUCAACCGUGUGUUGACCGGACAGCGCCUGGCCGCCGGGGGGGAAAAACCUGCGUUACCCAACGUGCCCCCUGGCCCGCGCUCGCCGAAGGACCUUCUGAACGCGUGUGAAGAUCGAGUGAACGUCUGAGUGAGUACGGUGAAUCAGUCAAAAAAACUUUCAACAAUGGAUCUCUUGGUUCCG